rnacentral:rRNA from 1 species
UACGUAGGGAGCAAGCGUUGUCCGGAAUCAUUGGGCGUAAAGCGCGCGUAGGCGGCCCUGUAAGCCCGUUGUGAAAGUCAAAGGCUCAACCUUUGAAAGCCGAUGGAUACUGCAGGGCUAGAGUCCGGAAGAGGCGAGUGGAAUUCCUGGUGUAGCGGUGGAAUGCGCAGAUAUCAGGAGGAACACCAAUAGCGAAGGCAGCUUGCUGGGACGGUACUGACGCUAAGGCGCGAAAGCGUGGGGAGCGAACAGG